rnacentral:rRNA from 1 species
GACGAACGCUGGCGGCGUGCUUAACACAUGCAAGUCGAACGGAAAGGCCCUGCUUUUGUGGGGUGCUCGAGUGGCGAACGGGUGAGUAACACGUGAGUAACCUGCCCUUGACUUUGGUAUAACUUCAGGAAACUGGGGCUAAUACCGGAUAGGAGCUCCUGCUGCAUGGUGGGGGUUGGAAAGUUUCGGCGGUUGGGGAUGGACUCGCGGCUUAUCAGCUUGUUGGUGGGGUAGUGGCUUACCAAGGCUUUGACGGGUAGCCGGCCUGAGAGGGUGACCGGCCACAUUGGGACUGAGAUACGGCCCAGACUGCUACGGGAGGCAGCAGUGGGGAAUAUUGCACAGUGGGCGGAAGCCUGAUGCAGAAACGCCGCGUGCGGGAUGACGGCCUUCGGGUUGUAAACAGCUGUCGCCUGUGACGAAGCGUGAGUGACGGUAAUGGGUAAAGAAGCACCGGCUAACUACGUG